rfam:Fukomys damarensis contig142742, whole genome shotgun sequence.
GAAUGAUUUGUCUGUGAUGUCUUUCACCACCCUGAGUUAGGGGCUGGUUCAGAAGGUGUGGCUGGCUGGGCAGGUGGACGCCUUCUGAAACUGUGUGCCCAGUAGAAAAGGACAGCCUUCUUCAACAGAGGAGAAGUAUUCUUCAGACAAGAGUAUACAAGUAGCUACACUCCCCUAACCAGUAACUCCAAACAAGCUCUCAAAAUAUAUAGAUCAUAGCUUUUUCUCCUGAAUCAAUAUUAUCCUUUUUAUCUCAAACUAUACAAGGAACAGUAAGAAUAUGAAUUGGA